UACAGAGGGUGCGAGCGUUAAUCGGAAUUACUGGGCGUAAAGCGUGCGUAGACGGCUAUCUAAGUCGGGUGUGAAAGCCCCGGGCUCAACCUGGGAAUUGCAUCCGAGACUGUCUGACUUGAGUAUGCUAGAGGGAAGUGGAAUUCCAGGUGUAGCGGUGAAAUGCGUAGAUAUCUGGAGGAACACCAAUGGCGAAGGCAACUUCCUGGGGCAAUACUGACACUGAUGUGCGAAAGCGUGGGGAGCAAACAGG
rnacentral:rRNA from 1 species